AUGAACGCUGGCGGCGUGCUUAACACAUGCAAGUCGAACGAUUAAAGCUCACUUCGGUGAGUGUAUAGAGUGGCGAACGGGUGAGUAACACGUGGGAAACCUGCCCCUUUCUUCGGGAUAACUUCGGGAAACCGUUGCUAAUACCGGAUACUCCGGGAUGGUCGCAUGGCCGACCCGGGAAAGCUUUAUGUGGAAGGGGAUGGUCCCGCGGCCCAUUAGCUUGUUGGUGGGGUAAUGGCCUACCAAGGCGAUGAUGGGUAGCCG
rnacentral:rRNA from 1 species